rnacentral:rRNA from 1 species
ACAAGCCUGAGAAACGGCUAGUAGGACUAAGGAUCUGUAGCAUUAAUCCAGGAUUCGAUUCCGGAGAACAAGCAUGAGAAACGGCUAGUAGGAGUAAGGUCUGCAGCAGGCGCGAAACUUACACAAUGCUAGAUCACAAUUAGCGAUGUAGUGAAGAAAAAUACCGAUGUACUUCCAUUUAAACAUGGUAGUACAAUUGGAAUGAGACGACUAUAAAUGAGUUAGUCGAGUAACAAAUGGAGGGCAAGUCUGGUGCCAGCAGCCGCGGUAAUUCCAGCUCCAUUAGCAUACAUUAAAGUUGUUGCGGUUAAAAAGCUCGUAGUUGAAUUUUAGGCGAGCUCUAUUGGGCCUCUUCCGAAAAGGCUCCAUCGCAGUUCGCUGCUUUGGUUGCUGGUUGUAGGCUUCCAUUAGGAACUCGCUGUUUCGUCACUUAAUCGAGUGCGAAGCGGGCUGGCACGAUACCACCUCGGUGGUUUUAUCGUUUCAGCAUGUUUACCUUGAGAAAAUUAGAGUGCUCACAGCAGGCAGUUGGGGUGUAAAAGCUCCUUUAUGCUUGAAUAAUGUUGCAUGGAAUAAUAGAAUACGGCCUCGGUUCUAUUCUGUUGGUCUUAUAGAACAACAAACAAGUUGGUUAAAGCGACCAAAAGUCCAUCUUGAGCGUGGCUCGUCGGGUUAUGUUGCCUGGAAGGUUAAAGUUUCAGCGCCUUGCUCGUCUUGCCAUUAAAAGCGCUCUUGGUGUGGCUAGCUUUUCAAUCAACUGAGGCAAUGGUUAAAAGAAAUAGUCACGGCGGCAUCAGUACUGCAUCGUGAGAGGUGAAAUUCGGGGACCGUCAAUUAAAAGAAAUAGUCGCGGCGGCAUCAGUACUGCAUCGUGAGAG